GACGAACGCUGGCGGCGUGCUUAGCACAUGCAAGUCGAACGGAAAGGCCCUGCUUUUGUGGGGUGCUCGAGUGGCGAACGGGUGAGUAACACGUGGGUAACCUGCCCUUGACUUUGGGAUAACUUCAGGAAACUGGGGCUAAUACCGGAUAGGAGCUCCUGCUGCAUGGUGGGGGUUGGAAAGUUUCGGCGGUUGGGGAUGGACUCGCGGCUUAUCAGCUUGUUGGUGGGGUAGUGGCUUACCAAGGCUUUGACGGGUAGCCGGCCUGAGAGGGUGACCGGCCACAUUGGGACUGAGAUACGGCCCAGACUCCUACGGGAGGCAGCAGUGGGGAAUAUUGCACAAUGGGCGGAAGCCUGAUGCAGCAACGCCGCGUGCGGGAUGACGGCCUUCGGGUUGUAAACCGCUUUCGCCUGUGACGAAGCGUGAGUGACGGUAAUGGGUAAAGAAGCACCGGCUAACUACGUG
rnacentral:rRNA from 1 species